rnacentral:tRNA from 1 species
GUGUAGCUCAGUGGUAGAACACUUGCCUAGCAUGCAGGAGACCCUAGGUUCAAUCCCUAGCAC